AAUCAACAUUUUUACCGUCUAACUAUCUAACCGUCUUUGCACAAUAAAGCGAAUAAAACCCAAAAAACUUGCUUUGCCGGUUACUGCUUUGACCUUUUGGCCCAGUUCCCCGCCCUAGCAGAGCGAAUGACCGACAGACCGGCGGGUCAUUCGCUCCGCGAUCGUCCACCAUGCGCCUGCCCCUGUGCUGGCUGCUGCUGCCCCUCAUGGCAUUGGCCGCCCCCGCUCAGCCGCCCCAGAACAUCCAGGUCGACGGGCUGUCCCUGGUGUGGUCGCCCGCCUCCCUGCGGGCCGCCGCCGCCCUCCUGCAGCCGGCCCUCCACGGCCCCAGCCAGCCAAGGGGGCGCGCCCGCCCCCCAACGCCAGAAAACCCCACUUUCCAUAAGUAAAUGUAUUGCAACAUCA